GAUGAAGAACGUAGCGAAAUGCGAUACGUAAUGUGAAUUGCAAAUUCAGUGAAUCAUCGAGUCUUUGAACGCACAUUGCGCCCCCUGGUAUUCCGGGGGGCAUACCUGUCCGAGCGUCAUUGCUGCCCUCAAGCACGGCUUGUGUGUUGGGCCCCGUCCUCCGAUCCCGGGGGACGGGCCCGAAAGGCAGCGGCGGCACCGCGUCCGGUCCUCGAGCGUAUGGGGCUUUGUCACCCGCUCUGUAGGCCCGGCCGGCGCUUGCCGAUCAACCCAAAUUUUUAUCCAGGUUGACCUCGGAUCAGGUAGGGAUACCCGCUGAACUUAAGCAUAUCAAUAAGCGGAGGA
rnacentral:misc_RNA from 1 species